rnacentral:rRNA from 1 species
AUGGUGAUGCCGACGGACCCGAUGCUAUGGCACAAGGUGGCCGCCGUCUCCGGGGUCGCUGCUCUUGGACUGGGCACCUACGGAGCGCACAUGUUCCGCCCGCAGAACCCUAGAUACAAAGAGAUUUGGCAGACCGCCUCCCUGUACCAUCUCGUCCACACCGCGGCGCUGCUCGGGGCUCCCAUGACGAAGCGCCCCAACAUCUUCGGAGGGCUUCUGACAACUGGAAUUGUGCUCUUCUCUGGAACGUGCUACACUGUGGCUUACCUUGAAGACAGGAAGUUCUCUUCACCAGCACCGAUCGGUGGCUUUGCAUUCAUUGCUGCUUGGGCCAGCCUGCUCUUCUGA